rnacentral:rRNA from 1 species
UACGUAGGGGGCAAGCGUUGUCCGGAAUCAUUGGGCGUAAAGAGCGUGUAGGCGGCCCGAUAAGUCCGCUGCGAAAGUCCAGGGCUCAACCCUCGAAUGCCGGCGGAUACUGUCGGGCUAGAGUCCGGAAGAGGCGAGUGGAAUUCCUGGUGUAGCGGUGAAAUGCGCAGAUAUCAGGAGGAACACCUACGGCGAAGGCAGCUCGCUGGGACGGUACUGACGCUGAGACGCGAAAGCGUGGGGAGCAAACAGG